rnacentral:tRNA from 3 species
GGAGAGGUGUCUGAGUGGCCGAAAGAGCACGCUUGGAAAGCGUGUAUACCGCAAGGUAUCGAGGGUUCGAAUCCCUCCCUCUCCG